rnacentral:rRNA from 1 species
ACCAGGUCUUGACAUCCGAUGCUAUUCUAGAGAUAGAAAGUUACUUCGGUACAUCGGUGACAGGUGGUGCAUGGUUGUCGUCAGCUCGUGUCGUGAGAUGUUGGGUUAAGUCCCGUAACGAGCGCAACCCUUGUCCUUAGUUACCAGCACGGUUAUGGUGGGCACUCUAAGGAGACUGCCGGUGACAAACCGGAGGAAGGUGGGGAUGACGUCAAGUCAUCAUGGCCCUUACGGCCUGGGCUACACACGUGCUACAAUGGUCGGUACAAAGGGUUGCCAAGCCGCGAGGUGGAGCUAAUCCCAUAAACCGAUCGUAGUCCGGAUCGCAGUCUGCAACUCGACUGCGUGAAGUCGGAAUCGCUAGUAAUCGUGAAUCAGAAUGUCACGGUGAAUACGUUCCCGGGCCUU